rnacentral:rRNA from 1 species
AGUGAACGCUGGCGGUAGGCCUAACACAUGCAAGUCGAACGGCAGCACAGUAAGAGCUUGCUCUUACGGGUGGCGAGUGGCGGACGGGUGAGGAAUACAUCGGAAUCUACUUUUUCGUGGGGGAUAACGUAGGGAAACUUACGCUAAUACCGCAUACGACCUACGGGUGAAAGCAGGGGAUCUUCGGACCUUGCGCGAUUGAAUGAGCCGAUGUCGGAUUAGCUAGUUGGUGAGGUAAAGGCCCACCAAGGCGACGAUCCGUAGCUGGUCUGAGAGGAUGAUCGGCCACACUGGAACUGAGACACGGUGCAGACUCCUACGGGAGGCAGCAUGAGGGAAGCUGCCGCAAUGGGCGGAAGCCUGACGGAGCAAUGCCGCGUGGGUGAUGAAGGUCUUCGGAUCGUAAAACUCUUUUAUUAGGGAAGAACAGAGGUGUAAGAAACUGUGCACAUCUUGACGGUACCUAAUCAGAAAGCCACGGCUAAAUAAGUG